CCUAAUACAUGCAAGUCGAGCGAACAGACGAGGAGCUUGCUCCUCUGACGUUAGCGGCGGACGGGUGAGUAACACGUGGAUAACCUACCUAUAAGACUGGGAUAACUUCGGGAAACCGGAGCUAAUACCGGAUAAUAUAUUGAACCGCAUGGUUCAAUAGUGAAAGACGGUUUUGCUGUCACUUAUAGAUGGAUCCGCGCCGCAUUAGCUAGUUGGUAAGGUAACGGCUUACCAAGGCAACGAUGCGUAGCCGACCUGAGAGGGUGAUCGGCCACACUGGAACUGAGACACGGUCCAGACUCCUACGGGAGGCAGCAGUAGGGAAUCUUCCGCAAUGGGCGAAAGCCUGACGGAGCAACGCCGCGUGAGUGAUGAAGGUCUUCGGAUCGUAAAACUCUGUUAUUAGGGAAGAAUAAAUGUGUAAGUAACUAUGCACGUCUUGACGGUACCUAAUCAGAAAGCCACGGCUAACUACGUGCCAGCAGCCGCGGUAAUACGUAGGUGGCAAGCGUUAUCCGGAAUUAUUGGGCGUAAAGCGCGCGUAGGCGGUUUUUUAAGUCUGAUGUGAAAGCCCACGGCUCAACCGUGGAGGGUCAUUGGAAACUGGAAAACUUGAGUGCAGAAGAGGAAAGUGGAAUUCCAUGUGUAGCGGUGAAAUGCGCAGAGAUAUGGAGGAACACCAGUGGCGAAGGCGACUUUCUGGUCUG
rnacentral:rRNA from 1 species